rnacentral:snoRNA from 1 species
UCGUCUGUUUCCAUCGCUCGGCCAGCGUGUCCUCGCCCGCUGGUCUUGAGCCGGAUGCCCGUACUCUUUUGUAUGGGUAUAAGACAAGAGCAAUCACAACGUUUUUUGAGUACGAGACCUUUAUUUGUGUGGAGGCUUUCGUAAUUUAUCUGUUGUUACAUAU